rnacentral:tRNA from 2 species
CAGUGUGUAGUUUAAGUAAAAUAUAAUAUUUGGGUUAUUAAGAUUUUUUCACUGA